rnacentral:rRNA from 1 species
GUUGCUGGCCUCUAGGGGCAUGUGCACGCUUCACUAGUCUUUCAACCACCUGUGAACUUUUGAUAGAUCUGUGAAGUCGUCCUUCAAGUCGUCAGACUUGGUUUGCUGGGAUUUAAACGUCUCGGUGUGACAACGCAGUCUAUUUACUUAACACACCCCAAAUGUAUGUCUACGAAUGUCAUUUAAUGGGCCUUGUGCCUAUAAACCAUAAUACAACUUUCAACAACGGAUCUCUUGGCUCUCGCAUCGAUGAAGAACGCAGCGAAAUGCGAUAAGUAAUGUGAAUUGCAGAAUUCAGUGAAUCAUCGAAUCUUUGAACGCACCUUGCGCCCCUUGGUAUUCCGAGGGGCAUGCCUGUUUGAGUGUCAUUAAAUUCUCAAACUCACAUUUAUUUGUGAUGUUUGGAUUGUUGGGGGUUGCUGGCUGUAACAAGUCGGCUCCUCUUAAAUGCAUUAGCAGGACUUCUCAUUGCCUCUGCGCAUGAUGUGAUAAUUAUCACUCAUCAAUAGCACGCAUGAAUAGAGUCCAGCUCUCUAAUCGUCCGCAAGGACAAUUUGACAAUUUGACCUCAAAUCAGGUAGGACUACCCGCUGAACUUAAGCAU